rnacentral:misc_RNA from 1 species
GGGUCAGUGUCUAGGUGUCC